CGCGAGCUUCGUUGUACCCCUCGCCCAGAGCCUCCGACCCGCGCUUUGCUCUCCGCCCCGCCUGAGGAUCGCGGUCACAAAUCGCAGGCAGCGGGUGUCGUAGGGGAAUCUGCAAAUGCUUAAGCCUCCCUCUGCUUCGGCACUGGAAGGAAACGCUGCAUUUCCCAGUCGCGCGGGUUAAACUGCAGGCGCUGGCAAACAAUUGCUAGGAGGCCCUUCCAGCGUGCAUUGCAUGGAUAACUCUGUCUCUUCACAGGGCUGGGAAAGAAAUCCAAAGUCGUGACUCAGGAGGCGCCUCGGGAAGGAAGAAACCGUGGACGUCCUCGGCGUGGCCGUGCCUGUUCCUCUGUCUCCUAUUCGGCUCGAGAGCUGCUCGUUGUGGUCAGCUUUCCGCUCUCCUGCCGGCCCUGGAUCUCGUUCCAAAUUCAAUCUGCUCGAAGGCAAGGCGUUGGCGAGAGGGGAGCGCGGCUGAACUCCAAAACCCCACGGUUUGGAGGACACUGAACGUGCUGCCCAGUGGAUGUGGCUUUUUCCUGAAACAGCCUUGCGGUAGUCGGUCGCCUGCCUGGCCGAGCCCCCCAUCAGACGCUCCUGUGCAUCCAGCUGCCUGCGCCGGGAGAGAGCUGCCUUGUUCGAAGUAUUGCAGAGUCUGCCCGUACGUCCUGAGCUACCCCACGAUGCAUGCAGCAUCCUUUCAUGUCCUGCAACAUGCUGAUGGUCCCUAGGGAUUGCCAGUCUCCGUGAUUUCCUCCGUGAAAGGGAAGGGAAAGCAGUGCAAAAAAAUUAAAAAAGCAAAACCCCGCAGCUGAGUGGUUAUUGUUGUUGCCUUCCAGCCGGCUCUUGCAAAAGACGUAAGGAUCAAUCGCUCACAACUAACAAAAUGUUUUUGUUUCCCUUUGUAAAAGCAUAUGGGAGCUCCAGGAAAAGCAUAUGGGCGUUUUUAGGAAAACAUAUUGGAGAAUGGACAAAUUAUAGCGGUGCCAAUAUGCUUUCGAUGUCUGGCUAGACCACUACUACUACACUUGCUGGCAUACAAAUCCUUCUACAAGAUUUCCUGAGGUAGCAUAUGAUGAGUGGUGUGUAACGGCUCGUGGGGAAGCACAGACGCUUGCAUCCAACCCAUGCUCAAUUACAUCGUGAUCCACGCUGUGCGCGCGUGACUGCCGCCACCCCACCCUGUGUCGUCUGCACCGUGGCUGGUGGCAUCCGGAGACUGCGCUUUUGGGGGGAGAGCCGGUCCGGCGAAUGCAUCGUGCCCAGAGUUUAGUUGCACGGUAACCUUCGCUCUCUGGGUCUAGGUGCUGCAUUCAUCCCCAUGGGAUCUGAGCGUCUUGCGGAUGUUCGGUGGCGCGCUCAGCCCCUGAUUCUCUGCUGCUUUCUCGUGAACGGGCAAACUAAACUAGCCAAAAAAGUGCAUUGGUUUGGGGGAGAUAUCAUGCACUUGUACGGAUGCUGGACACGGUUCUAGGUCCCUCCUCCUUGAAGAGCAAAGCAGGGCACCAGAAUAGACAGAGGAUGAAGGACAAAUAUACUCGAAGGUAUUAAGUGGACUUGACUGUUGGCUGUGCUGUGGCGGCUCGCCGCCGCCGGCAAGGGUGCCGAUGCCCUGAACCGUGGGAAGUCCUCACAGAGCAUAGCCUGCGUCCUCGGCUCUUCUGCAUGUUGGCUUGAAAGGGGGUUGCACACGUUUCUCAAGAGGAUCUGGUCCCUGCUGUGUGAGCGGGU
rnacentral:lncRNA from 1 species